CACGGAGUUAGCCGGUGCUUAUUCAUUCGGUACCGUCACACAAGGACGCAUCCCUGCUCUUCUUCCCGAAUAAAAGCCGUUUACAACCCUGAGGGCCUUCAUCCGGCACGCGGCAUGGCUGGGUCAGACUUGCAUCCAUUGCCCAAUAUUCCCUACUGCUGCCUCCCGUAGGAGUCGGGCCCGUAUCUCAGUGCCCGUGUGGGGGAUCAACCUCUCAGCUCCCCUAUCGAUCGUCGCCUUGGUAGGCCGUUACCCAUACCAACUAGCUAAUCGAACGCAUGCCCAUCUUCAACCAAUAAAUCUUUAACAAAUAGACCCAUGUGGGCCCCCUGUAUUAUGCGGUAUUAAUCCGGGUUUCCCCGGGCUAUCCCCCAGUUGAAGGUAGGUUGCAUACGCGUUACGCACCCGUACGACGGUGACAUUGCUGCCCCCUCGCCUUGCAUGUAUUAAGCCUGCCGCUAGCGUUCAUCCUGAGCCAGGAUCAAACUCU
rnacentral:rRNA from 1 species